rnacentral:rRNA from 1 species
AACGAACGCUGGCGGCAGGCCUAACACAUGCAAGUCGAACGCCCGUACGCAAUACGGGAGUGGCAGACGGGUGAGUAACGCGUGGGAACGUGCCCUUCGGUUCGGAAUAACUCAGGGAAACUUGAGCUAAUACCGGAUACGUCCGUAAGGAGAAAGAUUUAUCGCCGAAGGAUCGGCCCGCGUCGGAUUAGCUAGUUGGUGAGGUAACGGCCCACCAAGGCGCGAUCCGUAGCUGGUCUGAGAGGAUGAUCAGCCACACUGGGACUGAGACACGGCCCAGACUCCUACGGGAGGCAGCAGUGGGGAAUAUUGGACAAUGGGCGAAAGCCUGAUCCAGCCAUGCCGCGUGAGUGAAGAAGGCCUUAGGGUUGUAAAGCUCUUUCAGCGGGAAGGAUAA